CUACGGGAGGCAGCAGUGGGGAAUAUUGGACAAUGGGGGAAACCCUGAUCCAGCGACGCCGCGUGGGUGAAGAAGGCCUGCGGGUUGUAAAGCCCUUUCGGUAGGGACGAAAGCUCUCGACCUAACACGUCGGGAGGUUGACUUAACCUACAAAAGAAGCACCGGCUAACUCUGUGCCAGCAGCCGCGGUAAUACAGAGGGUGCGAGCGUUAAUCGGAAUUACUGGGCGUAAAGCGCACGUAGGCGGCUUGGCAUGUCGGGUGUGAAAUCCCCGGGCUCAACCUGGGAACUGCAUCCGAAACUGCCUUGCUAGAGUAUGGGAGAGGGAAGUGGAAUUUCCGGUGUAGCGGUGAAAUGCGUAGAUAUCGGAAGGAACAUCAGUGGCGAAGGCGACUUCCUGGACCAAUACUGACGCUCAGGUGCGAAAGCGUGGGGAGCAAACAGGAUUAGAUACCCUUGUA
rnacentral:rRNA from 1 species